GAUGAACGCUGGCGGCGUGCCUAAUACAUGCAAGUCGAGCGAACAGACGAGGAGCUUGCUCCUCUGACGUUAGCGGCGGACGGGUGAGUAACACGUGGAUAACCUACCUAUAAGACUGGGAUAACUUCGGGAAACCGGAGCUAAUACCGGAUAAUAUAUUGAACCGCAUGGUUCAAUAGUGAAAGACGGUUUUGCUGUCACUUAUAGAUGGAUCCGCGCCGCAUUAGCUAGUUGGUAAGGUAACGGCUUACCAAGGCAACGAUGCGUAGCCGACCUGAGCGGGUGAUCGGGCACACUGGAACUGAGACACGGUCCAGACUCCUACGGGAGGCAGCAGUAGGGAAUCUUCCGCAAUGGGCGAAAUCCUGACGGAGCAACGCCGCGUGAGUGAUGAAGGUCUUCGGAUCGUAAAACUCUGUUAUUAGGGAAGAACAAAUGUGUAAGUAACUAUGCACGUCUUGACGGUACCUAAUCAGAAAGCCACGGCUAACUACGUG
rnacentral:rRNA from 1 species